rnacentral:rRNA from 1 species
UACGUAGGUGGCAAGCGUUGUCCGGAUUUACUGGGUGUAAAGGGCGUGCAGCCGGAGAGACAAGUCAGAUGUGAAAUCCACGGGCUCAACCUGUGAACUGCAUUUGAAACUGUUUCCCUUGAGUGUCGGAGAGGUAAUCGGAAUUCCUUGUGUAGCGGUGAAAUGCGUAGAUAUAAGGAAGAACACCAGUGGCGAGGGCGGAUUACUGGACGAUAACUGACGGUGAGGCGCGAAAGCGUGGGGAGCAAACAGG